CAACUUUGUGUGUCUCAUUCUUCGCCUCUUAAAUAGCACUCUCUAUCUAAAUUUUAAUUCUCAUCUCUUUUAGUAUUUGCAUUUUAGCUACUACUCAUAAGUAGUUGCCAAAAGAAAAAAUUAAAGCAAAAUUUAUCGUGCUGCCAUGGCUGUCGAGGAACUCUCGGUUGUUCUCCCCCGCGUGCUCAUUGUCUCUAGACGUACCGUUCGUAAGAACAAAUUUGUUGAUUUUGUUGGAGAAUAUCAUCUCGAUCUUAUAGUAAGCUAUGGAGCUGUUCCGGUGAUUGUACCCAGAGUUUCCGGGGUACAUUUGUUAUUAGACAGUUUUGAACCAAUUCAUGGUGUUCUUCUCUGUGAAGGAGAGGACAUCGAUCCUUCUCUGUACAACGAUGAACUAUCCGAUCUCUCCGUAGAAGAAUUGGAAGAAAUUAGGAGAUUGCACGCUAGCGACACUGCAAUUGACAAGGAAAAAGACACAAUUGAACUCAGAUUGGCUAAGCUCUGUCUAGAAAGGAACAUUCCCUAUUUGGGAAUAUGCAGGGGUUCACAGGUACUGAAUGUUGCAUGUGGAGGAACUCUUAUACAAGACAUUGGAAAAGAAAUAUCGAAAAACCUUCCUGAGAAUCAGAGGGUAGUUCAUAUGGAUUACGAUAACUAUGAUGGUCAUAGGCAUGUUAUACAAGUUGUCGAGGAAACGCCAUUGCACCAUUGGUUCAAGGACUCGUUGGAAGACGAAAAAAUGGAGAUUUCAGUCAAUAGUUAUCAUCAUCAAGGAGUUAAAAAAUUGGCUCAGAGAUUUGUUCCUAUGGCAUUUGCCCCUGAUGGUUUAAUUGAAGGAUUCUAUGAUCCAGAUGCUUAUAAUCCUGUUGAGGGUAAGUUUAUUAUGGGACUUCAAUUUCAUCCGGAACGAAUGAGACAAGAAGAUAGUGAUGAAUUUGAUUAUCCUGGAUGUACAUUUGCUUAUCAGGAGUUUGUGAAGGCUGUAGUUGCAUAUCAGAAAAAACUGUUAAGCACAACCACAAUCGAAAAGCCAUUGAAGCUUAAUCAAGAAAUGGAGAAGAAGAGGAAAAUUAUAGUUAGAAGUUUUUCCCUUGCUAGAGAUUUAUACGAAAAAGGCUGUACAUUUCAGUCAUCUAAAACUUCAGACUUAGAUGUAGGAGCAGAAUUCCUCGAGUCAAAUACAGCAUUGAGUUUGCAACAAGAGACAAGAUUAAAGCAAAUGGGAGCAACAGUAAGGAAUGCAUCAUCUUAUUUGCAGAGAUUAAAGAUGAAUGAAGAGAAAGAAAGGUUGGGAAGGAAAGUAAUGGGGAAAAUGUCGGUGGAACAGCUAUCUGAUCUAAAAACAUUUUACAAUAUGAUGGGACAGAUAUGUUCUGAAGUUUUAGAGAGAAAAUUACAGGAUCUCAUGACUCUUGAUGAGGAAUUUUGAUAUUUCUGCACGAGUUUUAUUGCUUUAAUUUAAUUUUUUUUUUCUUCUCAAGGUUAUAUAUGUAAUUCCUUAGCUUUCUUUGUAAAGUCACGUGAUUGCGGAACUAAGCAAUGUUAAAA
rnacentral:misc_RNA from 1 species